rnacentral:rRNA from 1 species
GUAGUCUCGCACAGAUGCAUAUCAAUAAGCGGAGGAAAAGAAACUAACAAGGAUUCCCCUAGUAACGGCGAGUGAAGCGGGAAGAGCUCAAACUUUGAAAUCUUAAAGGGUUUCCCUUUACGAAUUGUAGUUUAAAGAAGUGUUUUCUGUUGAGGUUUUGGUAAAAGUUCUUUGGAAUAGGACAUCAUAGAGGGUGAGAAUCCCGUAUUUGACCUUUACUUUCAACUUUGUGAUACACUUUCAAAGAGUCGGAUUGUUUGGGAAUGCAGUCCAAAAUGGGUGGUAAAUUUCAUCUAAAGCUAAAUAUUGGCGAGAGACCGAUAGCGAACAAGUACCGUGAGGGAAAGAUGAAAAGAACUCUGAAAAGAGAGUUAAACAGUACGUGAAAUUGUCAAAAGGGAAGCGUUUGACACCAGUGUUGUUUUUCUGAAAAUCAAUUAAAGAACUGUUUAUGCUAAGCUUGUUUAGACUUUAUCAGCUAUCUGCUUAGUUUUGAGCUUUUCUUUAAUGCACUUUUCAGUUAACAAGUCAACAUCAAUUUCUUUUGCUUGUAAAAAAGCUUGAGGAAGGUGGCUUGAGAUUCGUCUUAAGUGUUUAUAGCCUCUUGCCUAUGCAGUCGGAGAGAUUGAGGUCUGCAGCGUAGAUCCUUCGGGGCUAAAUGCAUUUGUGCUAAGUUAUAGCAUUUUAUAGACAACUUGUUGACUAUGAUUUGUCUUGUAGCUUACUCGCUUAUGUUAUUUUACCUACGCUUAGGAUGUUGACGCAUGAGAUAUACGC